rnacentral:rRNA from 1 species
UACGUAGGGGGCUAGCGUUGUCCGGAAUCAUUGGGCGUAAAGCGCGUGUAGGCGGUUCGGUAAGUCCGCUGUGAAAGUCGGGGGCUCAACCCUCGAAUGCCGGUGGAUACUGUCGGACUAGAGUACGGAAGAGGCGAGUGGAAUUCCUGGUGUAGCGGUGAAAUGCGCAGAUAUCGGGAGGAACACCAGUGGCGAAGGCGGCACUCUGGGCCGGUACUGACGCUGAGGAGCGAAAGCGUGGGGAGCGAACAGG